rnacentral:lncRNA from 1 species
UCCAUUGGGCUUGAACCCAACAUAUGAAUCCUAAGAAAAAACAGCAAAAGGUAGGCUUACAACAGUUUAGCCCACUUAAAAGUAAAAACCAAUAAAAUAAACAAUUUCAAAACCUCCAGCCGAACGGCCCAGUUAUCUUCAUAAUUUCUUCUGACUUUUCCUCUGUCCAAGACAACUGAAAAGUAAAAGCAAAUACCCUAAAAUCUUUUGCUUUCUGAUUGCUUUUACAAUCGGCAUUCACUCUUUCAUUUCAAUCAUCACUCCCUAAUGCCGAAACCCAAAAUCUUAUCCCCUUUCCUUCUACUCUGAACAACCAAGGCAAUUUGGCUCUGAUUCAUCCCAAAUCGAUCUUAAGGUCUCUCCCUCCAGGUACUGUUCUUCUUUCUUCUUUAGUGAUCUUUUUGCUAAUCUAUGCGCUUCUAUAUUUUCAAACCUUGGGAUGAAAUAGAAUCUGACUUUUUGAAAGAAAUCUUUUAAGCUUUGAAUGUCACUGAUAAUUGCUCCUAUUUCUGAUUAGUCUCGAUUUUCACUUUGACAUUUUGUUAUCACUGCUCUUGAAUCUCCUAUUAUGUCUAAAGUGUGAUAUCCCAACUGGGCCCCUAACAUUGUUGCUUGAAAUCCUGCAUGUGCUUCUGCCGCAAACGGAGAUGCAACAUUGUCAUGAAGGAUUGAUUUUGCUCCAACGAUUCUACCCUCCUCAUUUUUAAUGAUGAGGCCUGACGCUGAUCUGUGGUUCUGUGAGUCAAAAGCCGCAUCGAAAAAGAUGGCCUUAGUCGCCCUUUGUAGCCUCUGUCUAGGCCUUACGCCGGUUUCCAAGGUAAUUACCUUUUCUUUAACUCCUUCCAAUUCUGAAAUGUAGCUUUUAAUUUGCUUGGAUAAAUCCCAACUGGUGCUAAAUUUAUCUUCGCAUAUUAGCUUAUUCCUGCUUGUCCAGAUUACCCAUAAACCGCAGCAAAAUCCCAUGCACUGUUCAUUUGUCCCUUUGCUGAAAACCCAGGUAAGCCAACUCCAGAGAUCUACAUGAUUGUUGUUAAGUACCCAGGAAAAAUUCAAAUGACUCCAUAUUUCUUUCACUACAGGGCAUCUUUGGAAGACAUGGAUGCUAUCUUUUUUUUCCUGACCACAUCUCGAACAGAAGUCCUCAGUCAUUACUCUUCUCAGCUUUAGAUUGGAGAAAGUGGGGAUGUAAUUCCACGUAAUUUUCCAUACUGUAAUUUUAAUUUUUGAAGGCAUAUGUAGAUUCCAUAAUUUCCUGUAAAAAUUUUUAAAAUCGGGCUAUAAAUAAGCAUUAGGAUCAAUUGUAGUCUCUUGUAAUAGUUUAUAGGCGCUUCUUACUGAAAAGAUUCCAGUUGCCUCUCCUCUCCAUACUUGGAUGUCUUCGUGAAUAGUCUUUGAAAGCGAGAUCUACAAGAUCUUCUUUGUGAUAUUCGUAUUAAAGGUACUGAUAAUCAAAUCUCUGUUCCAUGUUCUACUUUCUUUGUUGAUUAAGUCGGCCACUACUCUGAUACUUUCGCCACUGUUGUUGUUCUGUAAUCUGUCUUCAGUCACUCCCGAUACCCAGCGAUCAUUCAAUAUUGAGAUAUGGUCUCCUACACCUACCCUCCAGCAUAAUUCGUCCAUCAAAAUUUUUUUUGUCGACCAAAUACUUCUCCAGGUAAGUGAAGGUAGGUUGCUUAAAGAAGCAUUCAUGAAAUUCGUUCUUGAAAAAUAUUUAGCUUUUAAAACUCGGGCUAACAAAGAACUCGGAUAAUUAAUAACACGCCAACCCUGUUUAGCUAAUAAUGCUAUAUUUAACUUAUCUAAACAUCUAAAACCUAGACCACCCGAUUCUUUUGCUAAGCAAAUGUCCUUCCAUGCGCACCAAUGUAUCCCCUUUUUCCCCUUAUUUUUCUGCCACCAAAAUUUUGCAAUAAUACCCUCUAAUUCCUUACAAAAAGAUUUAGGGAGUAAAAAACAAGACAUUGCGUCAGUUGGUAUAGAUUGUAAAACAGCCUUGAUGAAAAUCUCCUUACCUCCUUGUGAAAGAUAUUUGAUGCUCCAAUUCUCAAUAAGUUGCCUGAAUCUAUCUUUCAAAAUCUGAAACGCUGCAUUUUUCCUUCUACCUACCAAGUUAGGUAGCCCUAGGUAAUUUUCCAUAUCAUCUGAUCUUUGCGCACCAAGAACUCGAGUAAUUGUACGUCUUUCUUCCUCCUAUAAAUUGCUGCUGAAGAAAAUUGUGGACUUCGAAUAGUUUACUUUUUGACCCGAGCAAACUUCGUACUGAUGCAGAAUCUGUUUUAAAUAAAUUGAACUCCUCUCUAAAGCUUCCCUAAACAGCAUACAAUCAUCUGAAAAAAGUAAAUGUGAAACCUGCGGCCCACUUCUGCUUGCCUUAACCCCUCUUACUUUAUUCUCAUUCAUUCCUAGCUUCAUAAUGCUAGAAAGACCUUCUCCACAGAAUAAGAAUAAAAACGGGCUCAAUGGGUCCCCUUGUCGUAAUCCUCUAGUAGGAUAGAAGAAUUCUUCAUUGUGUCCAUUAAGAACCACCGAAUAAGAAACUGUAUUUACACACCUUAAUAGUAGAGCCACCCAUUCUGAGUCGAACCAUAUUUUCUUCAUCAUCCCCUCCACAAAAUUCCACUCUACCCUAUCAUACGCCUUGCUCAUAUCUAGCUUGACCACCAUAAAUCAUUUCUUCCCUACCCUCUUCUAUUUUAGCAUAUGGAGUAGUUCAUAAGCCAAUAACACGUUAUCCGAAAUCAAUCUCCCAGGCACAAAAGCACUUUGUGCAGAAUCAAUGCAUUUGUCUAAUACUUUUCGAAUACGAUUCGCAAUAACUUUAGCCAUUAAUUUGUAUAUAACAUUACACAAACUAAUUGGUCUAAAGUGUGUUAUAUCCACUGGAUUUGAAUUUUUAGGGAUUAAAACGAUAUUUGUUUUAUCGAUUGGGCCAAUCUCCAUCCCUCAAUUCAGAUGAUUGAGACAAAAAGUAGUUACCUCUUCCCUAAUAAUCGCCCAACAUUUCUGAUAAAAUAACGCUGGAAAUCCAUCUUUCCCUGGUACCUUAGUAGGCCCCAAUUCUGACAAAGCCUGGUGGAUAUCUUCCUUUGUGUAUCUCUCUUUUAACAUUAAAUUGUCUUCAUCCGAUAUACAUUGAGAAACUCCAAAUAAAACAUGAUCAUAAUUAGCUCUUCUGCUAGCAGAGAAAAGUUUUUGGAAAUAUGCUCUGGCUAUCAUUUCCAUUUCCUUUAAAUCGUCCGUUUCCCUCCUGUCAUCAUUUUUCAUUUUACGGGUCAAGUUCCUCCGUCGCUUCUGUAUUGCUUGUUUGUGGAAAAAUGCUGUAUUUUUUUCCCCAAGUUUCAACCAGUUAACCCUUGCUCUUUGUUCCCAAUACCGCUCAUCUUUUUUAAUCUUCAGAUUCAGUUGGAUUUUUGUAUCAAUCAGAUCUGCCAAAAUUUCUUCAUCUCUUUUUGUCUCUAUUAAUGUGGCCAGUUUUAAGGAUAACGACUUUUUCCUUCCUUCUCUAGAACUUCGAAUUUGUCUAACCCAUAGCUCCAACCCCUUUUUCAUGCUAUUUAACUUACUUAAGAACUCACCCUCAGAAUGCUUCCAAAUGUUUUUCACCUCAAUUAAGAAUGAAUCCUCCAAUACCCACCAUGCUUCAAACUUGAAAUCUUUAUGUAUUCUCUCUCUACACUCAUUUUUUGUAUUAACCAAUAACGGGCAAUGAUCAGAAAACGUAUGUGGGAGGUGUUGAAUCUAAAAAUUAGGGAAUUUUUGCAGCCAUUCUUCAUUCGCCACUCCCUUAUGUAACCACCCUUGGAGAUUGUUUUCAGGAAAAUUCCCUCUUUCCCAUGUAAACCAGUUUCCAUUGAACCCCAUAUCAGAUAAACUGCACUCCUCUAAUGUCUUACGAAAAACUUUCAUUCGUCCUUCCUCUCACGAUAAACCACCUUUUUUUCUCGAAACUAUAUAGAAUUUCGUUAAAGUCUCCACAUACCAUCCAUGGUAGCUCCACAGCCGUGCUUAAGUGCCGUAAUAGAUUCCAUGCCUCUGCUCUUUCUUAUGGAUAUGGAGACCCAUAAAAACCUGUAAGCCUCCAUUUGCACCCUUCUUCCACUUCAUCAAUGAUAACAUCAAUAUGUCGUUUUGAAAAACUUUGAAGUUGAACAUUUUUUCCAUCUCGCCAGGCCAAGCAUAGCCCACCUCUGGAACCAUCUGAACCAACAUCAAUACCAUUAAAGAACCCACAACUUCUUCUAACUUUUUCCAUAUGACUGCUACUAAUUUUUGUCUUCAUAAAGAAGGCUAUAUGGGGAUUAUAUACCUUCAGCACAUACCGAAAUUUUUGAAUUAUACAUAGACUCCCCAAUCCACGGAUAUUCCAACUUAAAAUUUUCAUUGCGAACGGUUGGCUUGCCACUUGACAGCCGCUGAUAAUUGAUGACUAACUUCCACCGCUCUCUUGCUCCUUUCCGCCAAAACGUUAGUCUCCUCUUUGGCCAAGGCAUCUUCCAUCUCCCUUCUAUUUCUCUUUUUGCCCUCCUCCCCAACAAUCACUACAUCUUCAAUAUCAUGUUCCAUUAGGCUAUUCUCUAGAUUACCACUCCAGUUCCCAUUACCUUUCCCUGUGUAAUAUUCUCUCCCUGCCAGAUUUAUUCCCAAAGCUGAAUCUAGAAUUCCAUUACUACCACUAUUUUCCAUUGGACCCCUGACAUUAGCCCCCUAUUUUGUUUUUCCCCAUUAUUUCCUCUCCCUUGUCCCUCGUUUUCUUCUCCCAACCAUACACUUGUCAUCAUUUGAGUUCGACGAGACUGUGCCUUAAUUGAUAAAUCCCACCCCAUCUCUUUAGUUUCCACUUCUGCCACCAUCAUUUUUUCCCCUAGAUCUCUAAUUUGAACUCCCCUCACGGGAUGCCAUAAACUUGCCAUUGUGCUUCCCAUUGCUGGGUAAUGGACAAUACUUGCUGUUAGAAAACAUCCCACCAAUUGCAAAGCUUCCACUUCUCUAUUUGUUUUCGCAUCAGAUUGAAUCUGGAUAAUUUCGUCUUCCUCUUCCAACGUUAAUCCCGCAAAUUCUGUCUCCAUGCUAACUCAAAGCCUUAGUAGUGAAAAUCAAAGAAAAAUAUGAAAAUAGAUAUGCCGUCACAUCAAAAUCAGAAAACAAAACCAAAAAACCCUAAAAACUACUAGAGAGAGUAGACAGAGACGUGCUAACUUAGCAAACCUAGGAGUUCGACUUGAUAAUUAGGGCAUCCGUCUCUUAAAAUGCUCUAAAGACCAAAAUGAAAGUAAAAUGAAAUAAAAUGGAAGAAUAAAAAAUAAAAAAAUAAGAUAGGACCAGACUGAAACAUGCCACAAAAACGGAAGGACCCAAGGUGUAAAUAGACCACUUUAAAAAAACACGUGAAUCCUAAGGGAUUCGGGUCGGGUAAUCACGUUGACCCCAAGACAACGUCGUUUUGGGACGUUUAGGGCCUGGGUGAAACGACAUCGUUUUAUCAUGCCUAUUUAAGUUAAAACAUUUUCAAAAAAAUCAUUUCCCUUUCAUCUAAAAAAAAUCUGAAAGCUCCCAACUUUUUCUCUCAAACCUUUUCAGGUCCAGCCUUUGAGCCACCAUGGGCCACCGUGACGACAGCAGCAGCUGUCUCUGGGGGCCGAAAACCUAAAAAUUCCCUUUUUUAACUUCGUUUUGAAUUGUUUUUAAACCCUUUUUAAAACCCUUUUAUCUCGAUAAAAAAAUGACGAAAAAAGAGCCGAAGAUCCUUGAGAAACCCUUCGGCCUUUCCUCCGAUGGUAGUGUUGUCUUUCAUCAGAGACAGUGGCCUUGGCCUCGCACGGUGAAUGGCGCAG